UACGUAGGGUGCGAGCGUUAAUCGGAAUUACUGGGCGUAAAGCGUGCGCAGGCGGUUUUGUAAGUCAGAUGUGAAAUCCCCGGGCUUAACCUGGGAACUGCGUUUGAAACUACAAGGCUAGAGUGUGGCAGAGGGGAGUGGAAUUCCACGUGUAGCAGUGAAAUGCGUAGAGAUGUGGAGGAACACCGAUGGCGAAGGCAGCCCCCUGGGCCGAUACUGACGCUCAGGCACGAAAGCGUGGGGAGCAAACAGG
rnacentral:rRNA from 1 species